rnacentral:pre_miRNA from 1 species
AUGCUCGCUCAUUGCCAAUGCUAAGUACUAGUGCCGCAGGAGGUUCCUUGUUCAACCCCUCCUGCUGUUCGAGUGCUUAAUAUCACAUUUGAGCAUUUC